CCUGAUUAAGAUGGUGUUUGGAGUGCGGCAUUGGCGCGCCCAGUUCGCCUCCUGCUGCGGCGUGGCCAGAGGGCCACACCUGUUGCUGAGGUCCGGUGGCGGUGUUGGUGUGGUGACGGUGUCUUCCUCUUCUGUGUGCCGUGAUUCCUGAGUUUGGGUUGUCUCACUGCGUCUGGUGCUUUAAAGGGUUUUUGUUUGGUGGAUGCCGUCCCUAUAGUGGCCCCUUCUGCCGGUAACCUCAGCUACUGUAGUUUCUUCUGUUUUCUUCCGUUUUUUUUUUUUUGUUAGGAUGAACUGCUUUUAGAAACAAGAGUAUUUUAAAAGAAUUUAAUAAACAGCUUUUUGCACAUUUGAAAA